AUUGAACGCUGGCGGCAGGCCUAACACAUGCAAGUCGAGCGGAUGAAGGGAGCUUGCUCCUGGAUUCAGCGGCGGACGGGUGAGUAAUGCCUAGGAAUCUGCCUGGUAGUGGGGGAUAACGUCCGGAGACGGGCGCUAAUACCGCAUACGUCCUGAGGGAGAAAGUGGGGGAUCUUCGGACCUCACGCUAUCAGAUGAGCCUAGGUCGGAUUAGCUAGUUGGUGGGGUAAAGGCCUACCAAGGCGACGAUCCGUAACUGGUCUGAGAGGAUGAUCAGUCACACUGGAGCUGAGACACGGUCCAGACUCCUACGGGAGGCAGCAGUGGGGAAUAUUGGACAAUGGGCGAAAGCCUGAUCCAGCCAUGCCGCGUGUGUGAAGAAGGUCUUCGGAUUGUAAAGCACUUUAAGUUGGGAGGAAGGGCAGUAAGUUAAUACCUUGCUGUUUUGACGUUACCAACAGAAUAAGCACCGGCUAACUUCGUG
rnacentral:rRNA from 1 species